GUCUCCUACGGGGGGCAGCAGUGGGGAAUAUUGCACAAUGGGGGAAACCCUGAUGCAGCAACGCCGCGUGAGUGAAGAAGUAUUUCGGUAUGUAAAGCUCUAUCAGCAGGGAAGAGAAUGACGGUACCUGACUAAGAAGCCCCGGCUAACUACGUGCCAGCAGCCGCGGUAAUACGUAGGGGGCGAGCGUUAUCCGGAUUUACUGGGUGUAAAGGGCGUGUAGGCGGGAGAGCAAGUCAGAUGUGAAAACUACAGGCUUAACCUGUAGCCUGCAUUUGAAACUGUUCUUCUUGAGUGAUGGAGAG
rnacentral:rRNA from 1 species